rnacentral:misc_RNA from 1 species
AGAUGGCACCCAGAUCGCUGUUCAGCUUCAGGGAGUUCACAGUUUGUAGAAGAAGCGAAACAGAAUUUUCAGGCAAUACAACAGGCCUACUCUGUUCUCUCUGACGCCAACAAGAGGUUUCUGUACGAUGUAGGUGCUUAUGACAGCGAUGAAGACGAGAACGGAAUGGGUGAUUUUCUGAGUGAAAUGGCAACCAUGAUGAGCAAAACAAAGCCUAAUGAAAAUGGGGAAAGCUUCGAGGAGUUGCAAGAAUUGUUUGAACAAAUUUUUCAGGAGGAUAUCGAGUCAUUUGGAGGAAGCUGUCAAGCUGCUGCUGCUGCUCCUACUACUACUUUGUCUUCUUCUACCUCUUCUUCUUAUGCAUCUUACAGUGAAAGUUCCCGCUGCAACGACAAGCGUAAUUCCUCUGAGAUGAACUUCGGGGGGUUCAAUGAUGUGGAGGGGACUCUUGGCUUUGGCUCUCACUUUCAGAAAUUCUGUUUAGGGACAGGUGGAACACCAGCAAAAUUUCAAGAAAGGGAAGGGAGCAAGAGGAGGAGUAAUGCAAGGAGGAGCAGGAGGUAGAAGUGGAAAGGGACAUGGCAGGAAACCAAAGGUUUCUUCAUCUGGCCUUAAUGUGUCCUCCCAAGACCAUGGAAUUUCUACUUCAUGAAACCAUGGUUGCACCACCACUACCACCAACUCGCUCACUUCCUCGGCUGAUACGGAUGCAAAUCGGCUGUGAAGGAGAUUAAUUAAGUAUGGCAUUGCCUGGCCAACACAGACUCAUGGGCGUAAUUCUUGUUCGUCUUAACGGGUGAAGAAGCAACCAAGAAACACUGGAAACCAAAACCAAAGCAAGUUUCUAAGCAGGGUGGCGACGCUCACAGUGAAAAUUUGUGGUUGUUGACACUCCUGUUUAACUUUGUUCGGGGGCAGUGUUUACCUCUUAGUUGUUU